CAUAUGGAAAAUCUAAAGUUGGUAUCGCCACUUAAACUCCUUAAAUGUUGUGAAAAUUUAAGUAUUUGAAAAUAUCGGCUUUAACUACAUUUAAAAAUUCCAAAAGCAGAAUUUGAAAGUAUGGAAAAUUUAACUAAAAUAAUGGAGCGAGCACGUUUAGUGAAUCAUUCUGUAUAUUAAACAACUUUAUGUAUCCUACCUUCCCACCUACUACAGUGGCACACCCAACCCCAAUAUUAGCUCUUUUAUUCUUUAUAUUUUAAUACUAAAAGUUUGUAAUUUAUUU